rnacentral:rRNA from 1 species
GAUGAACGCUGGCGGCGUGCCUAAUACAUGCAAGUCGAGCGAACAGACGAGGAGCUUGCUCCUCUGACGUUAGCGGCGGACGGGUGAGUAACACGUGGAUAACCUACCUAUAAGACUGGGAUUACUUCGGGAAACCGGAGCUAAUACCGGAUAAUAUAUUGAACCGCAUGGUUCAAUAGUGAAAGACGGUUUUGCUGUCACUUAUAGAUGGAUCCGCGCCGCCUUAGCUAGUUGGUAAGGUAACGGCUUACCAAGGCAACGAUGCGUAGCCGACCUGAGAGGGUGAUCGGCCACACUGGAACUGAGACACGGUCCAGACUCCUACGGGAGGCAGCAGUAGGGAAUCUUCCGCAAUGGGCGAAAGCCUGACGGAGCACCGCCGCGUGAGUGAUGAAGGUCUUCGGAUCGUAAAACUCUGUUAUUAGGGAAGAACAAAUGUGUAAGUAACUAGGCACGUCUUGACGGUACCUAAUCAGAAAGCCACGGCUAACUACGUG